AUAACAAGGGGAGCUUGUGGGCAGAGGAUGCAAAGCAGGCUGAGAGGGAGUUUGAGACUUCGACCCGUAACCUGAUUUGGAUAAUGCCAACGUAGGGAUGAGCAAU
rnacentral:ncRNA from 1 species